UCUGGCUCUAUCUCUUGAUACGCAAAAGAAGCACCGUCAUCGCCAUCCUAUCCCUCACAGAUUCGACCGAAGAAAUUUAACCCGGUGGCUUCCUACCCUUCCCAGUAACGAUAAAACAGGGUUGAAAAAGACCAAAUCAGCCCGAGUUAGCCCCGUGAGUAGGCGGAAACUCAGUUUCAGCAAUGGAGAACGAUCCAACUCUUUUGUGGGCACCGAGGAAUACGUGUCGCCGGAGGUUGUCAGAGGGGAUGGACACGAAUUCUCCGUGGAUUGGUGGGCUUUGGGGAUUCUAACGUACGAGAUGUCAUAUGGCACGACACCAUUUAAAGGGAAGAACCGCAAGGAAACGUUUCGAAACAUUUUAUCUAAGAAGCCGGAGUUUGUAGGG
rnacentral:misc_RNA from 1 species